rnacentral:rRNA from 1 species
AUUGAACGCUGGCGGCAGGCCUAACACAUGCAAGUCGAACGAGAGAGGGACGGGUGAGUAUUAUCUGGGAGACUGUGCGAGGGAGGGGGGUAACUACUGGAGACGCGAGCUCAUAUAGCGUACACUCGGAUGUGACCAGAUGGGGUUAGAUAUUGGGUGGGGUAACGGCGCACCUAGGCGACGAGCUCUAGCUGGUGUGGGAGGGUGACCAGCCACACUGGAACUGAAACACGGCCCAGACUCCUACGUGAGGCAGCAGUGGGGAAUAUUGCACAAUGGGCGCAAGCCUGAUGCAGCCAUGCCGCGUGUAUGAAGAAGGCCUUCGGUUGGUAAAGUACUUUCAGCGGGGAGGCGUUACCCGCAGAAGAAGCACCGGCUAACUCCGUGCCAGCAGCCGCGGUAAUUC